rnacentral:rRNA from 1 species
UGGGGAAUUUUGGACAAUGGGCGCAAGCCUGAUCCAGCAAUGCCGCGUGCAGGAUGAAGGCCUUCGGGUUGUAAACUGCUUUUGUACGGAGCGAAAAGGUCUGCCCUAAUACGGUGGGCUCAUGACGGUACCGUAAGAAUAAGCACCGGCUAACUACGUGCCAGCAGCCGCGGUAAUACGUAGGGUGCGAGCGUUAAUCGGAAUUACUGGGCGUAAAGCGUGCGCAGGCGGUUAUAUAAGACAGAGGUGAAAUCCCCGGGCUCAACCUGGGAACUGCCUUUGUGACUGCAUAGCUAGAGUACGGCAGAGGGGGAUGGAAUUCCGCGUGUAGCAGUGAAAUGCGUAGAUAUGCGGAGGAACACCGAUGGCGAAGGCAAUCCCCUGGACCUGUACUGACGCUCAUGCACGAAAGCGUGGGGAGCAAACA